AUGCCUAACCUGACCCAUCUGACUCUUGAAUUCAUUAGACUCGAUGACGAGGACCUGAGCAAGCUGAAUGAAUGCUUCCCUUGCCUUCAGGUUCUCAAUCUUAUCAGAGUCGGGGGUCUCAAAAACCCCAAGAUUCACCUCUCUCAAUUGAAGUGUGUUCAACCAGAUAUCCUCAUUUUAGACACUCCUUCCGUGUCUACUCUGAAGCUGACCAUUGAUAAACUCGGUCCAACUGUCCAAGUUGACGGCCUAGCGAGUUUGAAAAAUCUUCGAAUCGAGUCCUCGGAGCUGAACUCCCUCCUGCAGCUGUUUGCAAGUGAUUGGGAUAUCAGGACAUUAGAUCUUGAGCUACCAGUUUCUGUGGACUGCAUGGACCUUUACUAUGAGGUGAAGCCAGACUACCUUGUCCAAUUGUUCUCCAGAAUCACUGAAGUGAAGCUGUCACCAAGGUUUUCAUGUGCACUGAUGAGCCUCCUAUGCCUCUGUACGAAUCAUGAGUCUGCAGGCCGUUUGGAGAAACUUCUGGUCCAUCUACCGGCAUCGGACAUCACUUCUUGUCCGUUCGUGCCGUUGCUUAGUGUGGGCGCGCCGUCGUGCGAGGUGACUGUUCUUUUCCAUGCUGAUACCAGCGAUGCUGUUCGUCAAGCUGCUGCAUCAGUCUGGCCACCAUUUGUUCGGGGACUCCCAAGGUUUCCGGAGAUCACAUGGCGAUGGGGUACUUGA
rnacentral:rRNA from 1 species